rnacentral:piRNA from 1 species
UCCGAGGGACUUGCUUCUCUUUCUGC